AAUAUUGCGCAAUGGGCGAAAGCCUGACGCAGCGACGCCGCGUGAGUGAUGAAGGCCUUCGGGUCGUAAAACUCUGUCCUCAGGGAAGAAAAUUUGACGGUACCUGAGGAGGAAGCCCCGGCUAACUACGUGCCCGCAGCCGCGGUAAUACGUAGGGGGCAAGCGUUGUCCGGAUUUACUGGGCGUAAAGGGCGCGUAGGCGGUAGAUUAAGUCAGAUGUGAAAGUCCAGGGCUCAACCCUGGAAUUGCAUUUGAAACUGGUUUACUUGAGUGCAGGAGAGGAGAGCGGAAUUCCUAGUGUAGCGGUGAAAUGCGUAGAUAUUAGGAAGAACACCAGUGGCGAAGGCGGCUCUCUGGACUGUAACUGACGCUGAGGCGCGAAAGCGUGGGUAGCGAACA
rnacentral:rRNA from 1 species